UAUUAGGUUUAUAUAAUUUGAUUUUUUUAUAGAAAAAUGCAUACAUUUACUUAUUAUUUGCUUGAUAGCCCGUGGCCGCUGUAUUUUGUUUGAUAUAAAAAAUUGUAUCAAACUAGCUAACUUAACAUUUUUUUUCAGUGUGUAUAUAUUUAUUUAAAAAGUGUAGUAUAUCAAAAAUUUAUUAUUAAAACUAACAUAUGUUAAAAAAUUUUGUAGAAUUUACAUUGUGUACAAGAUGCACAAAACGAUUUGCAGAAAGAAGUAUAUAUUAUAUCAUUUAUAUAAAAACACUUAUAUCAAAUAAAAAAUAUCCAAUUAUAUUUUCUACAUAUUUUAAAAAUCUGAAUAGGAUUCUUCUUUUGAUACUAACAAUAAAGUGUUAUCUUUAAAACCAAAAAAAUUAUUGAUUGGCAAUUUAAAAAAUAACUUAGAGCUUAUAGAAAACUAUCAAAAAGGUGAUUCUGAAAGUUUAAAAUCUAUUCGCUUUGAAGAGUCAAAAAAAGCACAAGUUGAUAAUGAGGAGCAGGUAUAUAAUAUAUAAUUUUCUUAUUUUUAUAAGAGUUUUUAAUCAUAAUAUAUUUACUGUCUCUAAAUAUUGAUUUUCUAGAUUUAUACAUUCUUACAGGUAGAUGAUGCAGAUAUUACAGACUGUCAUCAUAAUGUAAACGACAUUAACGAAAAUGUUUCAUAUGAACAGAAUGAAAAUAUUCAACCAAAUAAUACUGUUGCGAACGCGAGCUUCGCGAGCGUGAGCUUUGCGCGCGUUGUGGCGCAAGCUUAACGCGAAAAAUCAAUAUAUCGAUUGCUUCAGUCAGCUGAGUCUAUCGGCCCCGGCGUUGCUUAGUUAUGUAUAAACAAAUGGUUUUGUUUAGAACUUCCUGAGACGUCAACUCGUGCGGACGUGCUCGGAGUUGUAAACGUGUUCGCAGCUUUGAUUAAAGUUUCUUGUUCGCCAAAAGCGUGUUCUUAUUCCGCCGCGCUCGCAAGCGGAAGAGUGAGUGUGUGGAAGUGCGAGAGUGCUUCGGGAAGCGCAACAAUACGGAAAAUUUAUUGGUGGAUCUUGGAUGUGGCGUAAAAAUACACCAAACUAUUCUUGAAGAAAAAAUCCGAAAAAAAUGAAAGAUUAUUAUUAUUGGAUUUAUUAAACACUUUAUAUACUAAAGCAGAUUUCACUUCUUGCUCUAGAAGCGGAAAAAAGGGAAAAUUUACCGAAGCAGCAAAACCCGAACUGGAUACAAAUAAACAGAAAGCUAUAUUGGAGGGGACGCCCAAGCCGAACCGACGCCAACAACAACUGCAGGCGCAGCGCAGAUCGUGAGUGCAGUUCCCGCGUUCCCAGUGACACCGGGAAAGGAGUGGAGCGGCCUCCGAGCGACCAGCGUCAGGCUCCAACGGAUGCAAGGGGAAAAACCUUACGCCGAGAGACCAGACGAAUGGGAACAAGCUACAUAGAGAUAAGAGUUUAUUUGUUCUCAGAGUUUUAUUUUAUUUCAUGUUUCUUUUGUAUACAUUAAUUUUAAUAAUUUUGUUUUGCUUAACUUUUGUUAGUAUAGCAUACAUUUAUGUUCUUUAUUUUUUAUAUAUAUAUAAGUUUAGAGUUUCGUUAACGAUACGUGAAUAGCGUACAAAAUUAGAGGUUAAGUGUAAAGCAUGUUUCAUAGUGCAGUCAAAAUCGCGAUGUAGAAAUAAGAUCGCGACAGAUUAUUCUUUCCUGUUACACAUAAGGUUCUAUGAAAGAAAGUCACUAGACGAUAGACUUAGGCGUUAUACAUAAUCGUCAUAAAGCGCAUAAAGUCAGUGAGCUAGCGCGACUCACGCAAACAAGUCAAAUUUUGUUUAUCGUGCGAAUCGAGUCACGAGUGCUCGCGUUUGAUUUAUUUGUUUUAUUAUUUGCAAGUAAUGCACGAACUGCAGAAAGAAUUGCAGAAAUACUAUUUUUUAUUGUUUAUUGUCAUAAAAUUUAUUUUGAAUAUUACGUUUAUUAUUUCUUAUGUUUUUGCAUGUAUUUUAUAGUAAUCUAGUAUAAACAUAGCAUAUAAGGUAGUUUUAAGUGAUAAAACAGCUCCUGCGUGAAAACUGAGAAGAGUGCAGGCGGUGGCACCGAAAAGUACACCUGUAUUUGAGAGGCGGCGUGCUUGUAAACAUAUGGCAUGCAUCUAUACGCAUUCUCAGAUGUCCUGAAUGCACUUUGUGCGAAAAUCGGACAGCAGAUGUGGCAAGCGCCACAGUCAGAGAUGGAAUAACCUCAUUGGUUCGCGAGUGAGGAGUGGGGAGCUUCAGCAGCGGCACUGCCACUCGUGCCAGGAUUGGCGGAGACGACCUGGAGGGGACACCUCACCAUCCGAGACACACCACAGCGCGCUAUUGGCCGAGAUGUCGGGGGAACGAAAACCUGAGCGCUGAUUGGUCGAGCGUUACUGGAGGGGCACGCCGGUAUAAAUGGGGACGCAGUGGCAUCCCACCAGCUUGUUGGAGCCCGAGUUCGUCACGGGUAACAUCCCGCGUAGUUUUAACUCGCGAAAAAGGGAUUAGCAUAGUGCAAUCGAACAAGUUCCGCGGAAGCGCAACCGCGUUAACAAUAGAGUCACGACCGUUCGCUGAAUGCGAGUAGGCGACGGGGAACUAGGAUAUACGAAGCCUAGCACCGAACGAAUAAAACGCGCUCAAAACGAAACGUUUGUGAAAAAGCGACGCGUUCAGGCGAAUGUUCAUAGCGCGAUAGCGCAUAAGUAAAUUACGAAACGAAUGUGAUAAGGCGACGCGUACGGGAGUGCUGUUAAUAGGAUAAGUGUUACGUUUUAAUAAAUUAUUUAUUUUGUGAAUAUAAAACCAAAUACGCAGUGUAGUGAAUACUUACCUGUUUCUUACCUGCAUGAGAUCCUACGACGAAUCCGAGGGGUUCCUGAAAAUAAAGUCCUGAAUAUUAAACAUCCGGGGUAUUCUGUUCAUGCGAAAAGUAUAUACCAACGUACUUGAGCACAUCCUUGGAGGGACGAGGCGAUCCGGAGAGUCAGCGGCGAUCCGACGGCAAAAACAGCAUUUCCUGAAACAAAGAAAAAUAAAGAUUAUUCGAACCAACAGCGAAGUAGACACGCUCGUGGUAGCGUAGAGUGCUAAAAUUAACAUUUGGUGAAAGUGUUGUGCUGAGUUAUCAAACCAGCGCACAUAUUAUUUGUCCGACGGCAAACGACAGGCGGAUAUCGCAGCAGGCGACGGACGGAGAUUCCUUGCUUCUUGGUAGUAAAAGGAGCUGGCGACCAAUAGGACGUGGACGAGAGUCUUCUAAAGGUUUGUUUUUCUUGAUUUUCCGAAGCGAAUUCGUUACCCAACGAGGUGAUGAUCGGUUACAACCGUACGAAUGGUUCGUCCGUUCCAUACCUUUUACACAAUGCAAAAGAAAAUUGUGUCAUUGAAAUAGCGUUAUAUUUGUCCCUUUUAUUUCGGAUACGAUACGUAUAAAAAAAUAAUCGCAAAAUACAUAAUAAUUGAGCUUUAUUGGAAUAAAAAA